rnacentral:rRNA from 1 species
GAGUUUGAUCGUGGCUCAGGAUGAACGCUGGCGGCGUGCUUAACACAUGCAAGUCGAACGAGGAAUUUUAAAUGAGACUUCGGUGGAUUUUAAAAUUCUUAGUGGCGGACGGGUGAGUAACGCGUGGGCAACCUGCCCUGUACAGGGGGGACAACAGCUGGAAACGGCUGCUAAUACCGCAUAAGACCACGGAGCCGCAUGGCUCAGUGGGAAAAACUCCGGUGGUACAGGAUGGGCCCGCGUUGGAUUAGGUAGUUGGUGAGGUAACGGCCCACCAAGCCGACGAUCCAUAGCCGACCUGAGAGGGUGACCGGCCACGUUGGGACUGAGACACGGCCCAAACUCCUACGGGAGGCAGCAGUGGGGAAUCUUCCGCAAUGGGCGAAAGCCUGACGGAGCAACGCCGCGUGAGUGAAGAAUUAUUUCGGUAUGUAAAGCUCUAUCAGCAGGGAAGAAAAUGACGGUACCUGACUAAGAAGCCCGGCUAACUACGUGCCAGCCGCCGCCGUAAC